UAGUCCACGCCGUAAACGAUGAUAACUCGUUGCUGGCGAUACAUUGUCAGUGACCAAGCGAAAGUGUUAAGUUAUCCACCUGGGGAGUACGAUCGCAAGAUUGAAACUCAAAGGAAUUGACGGGGGCCCGCACAAGCGGAGGAACAUGUGGUUUAAUUCGAUGAUACGCGAGGAACCUUACCUGGACUUAAAUGUACGUUGCAUAGAUCAGAGAUGGUCUUUUCUUCGGACUACGUACAAGGUGCUGCAUGGUUGUCGUCAGCUCGUGCCGUGAGGUGUCGGGUUAAGUCCCAUAACGGGCGCAACCCCUAUCCUUAGUUGCCAGCGAGUCAUGUCGGGGACUCUGAGGAGACUGCCACCGUAAGGUGUGAGGAAGGUGGGGAUGACGUCAAGUCCUCAUGGCCCUUAUGUCUAGGGCUACACACGUAAUACAAUGGUGCACACAAAGGGAAGCGAACCCGCGAGGGGAAGCAAAUCUCAAAAAAGUGCAUCUCAGUCCGGAUUGG
rnacentral:rRNA from 1 species